GACGAACGCUGGCGGCGUGCUUAACACAUGCAAGUCGAACGGAAAGGCCCUGCUGUUGUGGUGUGCUCGAGUGGCGAACGGGUGAGUAACACGUGGGUAACCUGCCCUGGACUUUGGGAUAACUUCAGGAAACUGGGGCUAAUACCGGAUAGGAGCUCCUGCUACAUGGUUUGGUUUGGAAAGUUUCGGCGGUGGGGGAGGGACUCGCGGGUUAUCAGCUUGUUGGUGGGGUAGUGGCUUACCAAGGCUUUGACGGGUAGCCGGCCUCAGAGGGUGAACGGCCACAUUGGGACUGAGACACGGCCCAAACUCCUACGGGAGGCAGCAGUGGGGAAUCUUCCGCAAUGGGCGAGAGCCUGACGGAGCAAUGCCGCGUGAGUGAAGAAGGCCUUCGGGGUGUAAAACUCUGUCCUUAUCGAAGAGAGGGUGUUGUAGUAAUUGACAAUACUAGGACGGUAGAUGAGGAGGAAGCCCCGGCUAACUAUGUG
rnacentral:rRNA from 1 species